UUGUAAGCUGGAGGAAAUGGGAUUUAAGGACACAGGCACUAACAGGUGAUUUUUUUGUGACGCUGUUGCGUGUGAAUACACACUCACCAUUAUGAACCAUACCGACUUUGUAAGCUGGAGGAAAUGGGAAUUAAGGACACAGGCACUAACAGGUGAUUUUUUUGUGACGCUGUUGCGUGUGAAUACACACUCACCAUUAUGAACCAUACCGACUUUGUAAGCUGGAGGAAAUGGGAAUUAAGGACACAGGCACUAACAGGUGAUUUUUUUGUGACGCUGUUGCGUGUGAAUACACACUCACCAUUAUGAACCAUAGCGACUUUGUAAGCUGGAGGAAAUGGGAUUUAAGGACACAGGCACUAACAGGUGAUUUUUUUGUGACGCUGUUGCGUGUGAAUACACACUCACCAUUAUGAACCAUACCGACUUUGUAAGCUGGAGGAAAUGGGAAUUAAGGACACAGGCACUAACAGGUGAUUUUUUUGUGACGCUGUGGCGUGUGAAUACACACUCACCAUUAUGAACCAUACCGACUUUGUAAGCUGGAGGAAAUGGGAAUUAAGGACACAGG